rnacentral:rRNA from 1 species
GAUGAACGCUAGCGGCAGGCUUAAUACAUGCAAGUCGUGGGGCAGCAUGAGUGUAGCAAUACAUUUGAUGGCGACCGGCAAACGGGUGCGGAACACGUACACAACCUUCCUCUAAGUGGGGAAUAGCCCAGAGAAAUUUGGAUUAAUACCCCGUAAUAUAAUGAUGUGUCAUCACAUUAUUAUUAUAGCUUCGGCGCUUAUUAAUGGGUGUGCGGCUGAUUAGAUAGUUGGCGGGGUAACGGCCCACCAAGUCCACGAUCAGUAGAUGAUGUGAGAGGAUGAUCCGCCCCACGGGCACUGAGACACGGGCCCGAAGCCUACGGGAGGCAGCAGUAAGGAAUAUUGGUCAAUGGACGCAAGUCUGAACCAGCCAUGCCGCGUGAAGGAUUAAGGUCCUCUGGAUUGUAAACUUCUUUUAUCUGGGACGAAAAAAGGUGAUUCUUCGUCACUUGACGGACCAGAUGAAUAAGCACCGGCUAACUCCGUGCCAGCAGCCGCGGUAAGAC